UGGGAGUGAAAUCAGUGUUUAGGACUAC
rnacentral:piRNA from 1 species